GACGAACGCUGGCGGCGUGCCUAAUACAUGCAAGUCGAGCGAAUCUUUAGGAGCUUGCUCCUAAAGGUUAGCGGCGGACGGGUGAGUAACACGUGGGCAACCUGCCUAUAAGACUGGGAUAACUUCGGGAAACCGGAGCUAAUACCGGAUAAUUCCUUUCCUCUCAUGAGGAAAGGCUGAAAGACGGUUUCGGCUGUCACUUAUAGAUGGGCCCGCGGCGCAUUAGCUAGUUGGUGAGGUAACGGCUCACCAAGGCAACGAUGCGUAGCCGACCUGAGAGGGUGAGCGGCCACACUGGGAAUGAGACACGGCCCAGACUCCUACGGGAGGCAGCAGUAGGGAAUCUUCCGCAAUGGACGAAAGUCUGACGGAGCAACGCCGCGUGAGUGAUGAAGGUUUUCGGAUCGUAAAACUCUGUUGUUAGGGAAGAACAAGUACGAGAGUAACUGCUCGUACCUUGACGGUACCUAACCAGAAAGCCACGGCUAACUACGUGCCAGCCGCCGCCGUAACAC
rnacentral:rRNA from 1 species